rfam:Streptomonospora alba strain YIM 90003 contig_27, whole genome shotgun sequence.
GCCGGUCCUCGGUAGUGGUCUGCGGCCCGUCUUCCGGGCGAGCCGCAGGCUUCGAUCGAUGGCCGGC